ACAUAGGUGGCAAACGUUAUCCGGAAUUAUUGGGCGUAAAGGGUGCGUAGGUGGUUUAGUUAAGUUACUGGUGAAAAAUCAGGGCUCAACCCUGGUAAGCUAGUAAUACUAUUAAACUAGAGGACCGGAGAGGUUAACGGAAUGAUUCGUGUAGGGGUAAAAUCCGCAAAUAUGAACUAGAACACCAAACGGCGAAGGCAGUUAACUAUUCGGAUGGCCUGACGUUGGAGGCACGAAAGCGUGGGGAGCAAGACGGA
rnacentral:rRNA from 1 species